UACAGAGGUGGCAAGCGUUGUUCGGAAUUACUGGGCGUAAAGGGCGCGUAGGCGGCCAUCUAAGUCAGACGUGAAAUCCCCGGCUUAACCUGGGAACUGCGUCUGAUACUGGAAGGCUCGAGUUUGGGAGAGGGAUGCAGAAUUCCAGGUGUAGCGGUGAAAUGCGUAGAUAUCUGGAGGAAUACCGGUGGCGAAGGCGGCAUCCUGGACCAACACUGACGCUGAGGCGCGAAAGCUAGGGGAGCAAACAGGG
rnacentral:rRNA from 1 species